AUGGCUCAGGAUGAACGCUAGCGACAGGCUUAACACAUGCAAGUCGAGGGGCAGCACGGGAGUAGCAAUACUUGGUGGCGACCGGCGCGACGGGUGAGUAACGCGUAUGCAACCUACCUAUCAGAGGGGAAUAACCCGGCGAAAGUCGGACUAAUACCGCAUAAAACAGGGGCACCGCAUGGUGAUAUUUGUUAAAGAAAUUCGCUGAUAGAUGGGCAUGCGUUCCAUUAGGUAGUUGGUGAGGUAACGGCUCACCAAGCCGACGAUGGAUAGGGGAACUGAGAGGUUGGUCCCCCACACUGGUACUGAGACACGGACCAGACUCCUACGGGAGGCAGCAGUGAGGAAUAUUGGUCAAUGGGCGGGAGCCUGAACCAGCCAAGUCGCGUGAAGGAAGAAGGAUCUAUGGUUCGUAAACUUCUUUUGCAGGGGAAUAAAGUGCAGGACGUGUCCUGUUUUGUAUGUACCCUGAGAAUAAGGAUCGGCUAACUCCGUGCCAGCCGCCGC
rnacentral:rRNA from 1 species